rnacentral:rRNA from 1 species
UACGUAGGUGGCGAGCGUUAUCCGGAUUUAUUGGGCGUAAAGGGAGCGUAGACGGCGGUGCAAGCCAGAUGUGAAAGCCCGGGGCCCAACCCCGGGACUGCUCUGGAAACUAUUGAACUUGAGUGCAGGAGAGGUAAGCGGAAUUCCUAGUGUAGCGGUGAAAUGCGUAGAUAUUAGGAGGAACACCAGUGGCGAAGGCGGCUUACUGGACUGUAACUGACGUUGAGGCUCGAAAGCGUGGGGAGCAAACAGG